ensembl:lncRNA
GAUAAACCUUCAGCACUCUGUUGCCCAACGGGUGUGCGUUUCCUCAGGCUGGUUCCACCUGUGUAGCCAGAGCAGUAUGUACUUAAGGAAAACAGCACAGACACAUCCAGAUUCCUGCUAGGAUUUGGAAUUGGCAUCGAGCAACACCCACUCCUCCACCCGGACCAGAAACCACCGAGAUGUCCCUCCCUCGGAUGAAGCUCAUGUGUCACUCACAACCCAUGGCAGAGGGCGUGCAGGGGCUUGGAGCAGAGGACAGUUGGAAUGGGAAGAUAUAGCAUGGUUAACCAGAAUCCAGACUCAUCUGAGCUCCUUGGGCAUCUCCCACUGCAACAUUCAGGACCUGAGGGUGCAUCUCCCACUGAGAAUCUGCUCCUCCAGAGCCGCUCCAUCACUGACGGGAAAGGAAGCAGUCACAGCUUGUGUGUGAGUGUAUGCAGUGAGAGUUACUGCGUGGCAACAGCUACAGCACAGCCAGCAGGUCGGACAGAAUGCGGGCGGUUCUGUGUCCAUACUGUGCUCCCUGAACACAGAGCUCACUGCCCUUUGUCCUGGUGAUCUUCAGUAGAAUGCAAUGGGCAGAGCCUGGAUAUGCAUACACACAUCUGUCAGUGACUGCUGAGAGAUUUUUA